rnacentral:rRNA from 1 species
AUGCUUAUGGCGCAGAUUGAGGAUAGAGUAAAUGAGCUAAAACAAGGGGAUAAGUCGGUGAUGGAGUAUGUAGCAGAAUUGCAGCAUUUGUGGGCUCACUUAGACCACUAUGAUCCACUGGAGUUACCACAUUCAGAAUGUAUAGUUGCUACUAAGAAGUGGGUAGAGCGUAGGAGAGUGAUGAAAUUCUUGAAGGGACUUAGCUCAGAAUUUGAAGGAAGGCGUGCUGGGUUGUUUCAUCAGCCAAAGCUCCCCUCGCUUGAGGAGGCAGUUGCAGCAAUGGCACAGGAGGAGGUCAGGUUGAAGUUGACCAGGACUGGAGAAGCGAAUGCAUCUCGCUCAGCAUUUACUGUGUCUGAAUGGAAGGAGACAAGAGAGUGCUUCAACUGUGGAGAGAAAGGUCACAUAAGCAUCAAUUGCACAACACAACGCAGAGAAAUACGUGGUAGGGGAAGAGGUUACAGCCGAGGUGGAUACCGGGGAGUUAGAGGCAGAGAUAACUCGAGGGGUUCGAAUUAUUCCAGUGGCUUCAAAGCAAACUUGGCUAACUUGGCAACGCAAGAAGAAGGGACGUCAACAACCUCUCAAGGGGAGUCGAAGAGUAGAAGCCAGGAGGACAACACCUUCGGGAACUUUGCCCACUUUGUCUACACAGGGGAAGGAGAGGAUGACUGGAAGGAAACUUGGGACAGGAACCAGGCGUAG